CCUGGGCAGCCUGGAGGACGGUGUGUGAUGUGGACUGAAGGCUUCUGGGCAUCCUUGGAGUCCGGGACCCAAUCUAGUCUCUCUCCUCUGGAAGGUAAAUUAUGAAGGACAAGACCAGAGAUUUUCCUUGUGGCAGCUGUAUUUCCAUGGCCCUGACGUGCUCCUCCUUGUAGAUUUCAACAUAUUUGCGGAUGAGUAAGUGAGUGCAGAGCUGUCCUCACGGAGGGACAACAGUCUGCCCUUGGCACCAGUGUCACCCACAGAUCCACAGAUCUUAGGCCCACAUGGAUUUUAUCUCACUACGUGGUGACAUAUCUGGGUCCAGACUCACUGCACAUCUCACCCUGUAGUUCUACUUGAGCCUGGCCUUCAACUCCCCGGUGUUCCAGGACGGCCUCAAACUCAGCGAUCCUCCUGCCUCAGCCUCACACGUGCUGGAAUUAAGCCAUCACGAUCACGUCCGUUCUCCAGGAUUCUAGGCGGUGAAGAAGGCGCUGCCUGUGCGGGUGCGAGGAGGACCGUGAGCACCGCGGCCCAGGCCGAGCUCCCUCCGCUCUGUUACCCGGGAGAGGCGGCUAAAGGGGCGUCGGGGCUGGGAGGGAAUGGGGGUCGCUCUGGGAGGUCCGGGCAGGUACGGGACAGGGCGGGGCCGCGCUCUCCUCUCACAGCCUCUGCGCGGGACUCGGGAGACCUAGUGAGCAGCCGGUGCGGGAGGAGAGGGUCAGGGCAGAGUCCGCGGGCCCAGGGCGGUCGGGUGAGGACGCUCAUCCCGGGAUUCCCCUCUGCCUGGGUUUCACUUCUGCCUCGGCCAAGCCGUGUCGGGUGCUUCUGCCUGGACACUCGUGACGCGACUCCACUUCCCACUCCCAUUGGUUGCUGU